rnacentral:sRNA from 1 species
CAAAAUUUUUAUAAAUUAUCAUUUUUGGAACAUCUCUCUUGGCGAUUCAGUAUUUUAAAUUUCAAAAUCCUUGAAAAAACUGCCAUUUAGAACUGACACACAUUAUAUCAGGCUUCUGUCUUAUUAAGAGAUUGGGAAGAAAAAGCUAUAUUAUUCUAAGCUCUUAGUUUUAAAGCACCUCUCUAUACGAUUCGGUGACAGCUUUAACAGUUGCAUUGCACGAAUUGUGCUUGUUCAUGCGGAAUGCAGCAACGCGCAAAACCAACAUUUGCCCCGGGGUCAAUGAAAUAAAACGCAAUUGCUGUACCCUCCACCAGCACCAGCGCCAGCUCAAAUUGCAAAGGUAAGCGGAAUUAUAAGCGCUGUAGAGAGAGCGAGAUUGAUUGAGAGAGCAGCAACAGCACCGAUCGGAGCGUAAGAAAAAGCGCCGAGUGCUGAACGAGAGAGGCUGAUUGACGCUUACCAACAAACAUACACACACACGCGCACGCUAGCUCACACACACACAUAAACACUCACACAUAAGAAGGCAAACAAACCGGCGAUGCGAAGCAAAGCAAAGGCAGUGAAGGCAGCAGACAUUCGAAGCGGUUAGCCGUUCAGUGUGACAGUGAACGUCGUACGGUCGUUGUGUUAUGGCAGCAGACGCAACAGAAGCAAAAACCCAAAACA